rnacentral:snoRNA from 2 species
ACCCUCUCAGGAUCACACAUGGAGAGUUUCCAGUACUCUACCAGUCUCGACUACAGGAGGGAAAGGCAAGCAGAGGCAUAUCCACUCCAUUACUAGCUUGGGCAGUGGCUAGUGAGUGGAAGGCCAUCUGCUACAAGU